CGCCUUGACUCCCCUGGACGACUGGGUUCCCGCCCCCCCCAAACAAAUCUCCCGCCCCGUCGAUGCAACAGGCUCUGGCAGACAGUGAGAAAACCCCGAUCCUUUGCAGAUGCAAAACGUCCCUUUGGCGACUGAAUGGCCCAGAAAAUCCCUCUCUGUUCCUGGUUCCUGGAUCAUGGGAAUUGAGCGGGUGACCCCCGAGAAUUGGCCCUGGAGGGGAGUGAAUGAGUCCAGGCGCAAGGGAAAGCCCCCCACGGGCAGAGAGGCGUCUUCGCGUCCCCCACAGAAAUCCACCAGUUUCCCAGGUCCUUCGUUUUCGACGGCCUCUUCAGUCUGGUGCCUUCCUUCUUUCCCCGAAUGUCCCUUCUGAUUUAAUCCGGAUUGCCUGAUCUUCUGCCCUGGAGGACGCUGGAUAUACUCGGAGCGAUUUCGCCGGACAGUUUGGGAGCCUGGUGAUUGAUUUGGUUUGUUGUUGUUUUUGGCCACUUUAUAUUAAAUCGGGAGAAGACACCGGGCAAGAGUUAA